UGGGUAGGGGAGCGUCGUGUGCCGGGUGAAGCAGCCGCGGAAGCGAGUUGUGGACGGUUCACGAGUGAGAAUGCAGGCAUGAGUAGCGAUACACACGUGAGAAACGUGUGCGCCGAUUGACUAAGGGUUCCUGGGUCAAGCUGAUCUGCCCAGGGUAAGUCGGGACCUAAGGCGAGGCCGACAGGCGUAGUCGAUGGACAACCGGUUGAUAUUCCGGUACCCGCUUUGAAACGCCCAGUACUGAAUCAGGCGAUGCUAAGUCCGUGAAGCCGGCCCGAUCUCUUCGGAGUUGAGGGUAGUGGUGGAGCCGAUGAACCAGACUUGUAGUAGGUAAGCGAUGGGGUGACGCAGGAAGGUAGUCCAGCCCGGGCGGUGGUUGUCCCGGGGUAAGGGUGUAGGACG
rnacentral:rRNA from 1 species